GUGAUGGAUACAGGGCAAGGAUUAAGUAUCUUCAAGAGGCAAAUUGAAGACUCAUUCUUUUAAAGUUGGAGGUCAUCUGCAGUUUGUGGGGAAAACAAGUGAGGCACUGUUUCAGGAGACAGAUGUAUGUCCUUCCACUCUCUUGUUCAUUGUCAGCACAUGAUCCGUAAUUUAGCUCCAGAGAUAUUCCAAGAUACUGAUCCACAAGGUACAGGUGGAAGCAAUGGCAGUAGCUUUACAUCUCACAGAACAUUAUAAUGAAGAACCG